UACAGAGGGUGCAAGCGUUGUUCGGAAUUACUGGGCGUAAAGCGUGCGCAGGCGGUUAUGUAAGACAGGUGUGAAAUCCCCGGGCUUAACCUGGGAACUGCAUUUGUGACUGCAUAGCUAGAGUACGGUAGAGGGGGAUGGAAUUCCGCGUGUAGCAGUGAAAUGCGUAGAUAUGCGGAGGAACACCGAUGGCGAAGGCAAUCCCCUGGACCUGUACUGACGCUCAUGCACGAAAGCGUGGGGAGCAAACAGG
rnacentral:rRNA from 1 species